UACGGAGGAUGCGAGCGUUAUCCGGAUUUAUUGGGUUUAAAGGGAGCGUAGGCCGCUUUGUAAGCGUGUUGUGAAAUUUGCCGGCUCAACCGGUAACUUGCAGCGCGAACUGCAGAGCUUGAGUGUGCGCAACGUUGGCGGAAUUCGUCGUGUAGCGGUGAAAUGCUUAGAUAUGACGAAGAACUCCGAUUGCGAAGGCAGCUGACGGGAGCACAACUGACGCUGAAGCUCGAAAGUGCGGGUAUCGAACAGGAUUAGAUACCCUGGUAGUCCGCACGGUAAACGAUGGAUGCCCGCUGUUUGUCCUGAUGGACAAGCGGCCAAGCGAAAGCGUUAAGCAUCCCACCUGGGGAGUACGCCGGCAACGGUGAA
rnacentral:rRNA from 1 species